rnacentral:rRNA from 1 species
CUAGUAAUCGCGAAUCAGAAUGUCGCGGUGAAUACGUUCCCGGGCCUUGUACACACCGCCCGUCACACCAUGAGAGUCGAUAACACCCGAAGCCUGUGAGCUAACCGCAAGGAGGCAGCAGUCGAAGGUGGGGUUGAUGAUUGGGGUGAAGUCGUAACAAGGUAAC